UAGUCCACGCCGUAAACGAUGAAUACUAAGUGUUGGGGAAACUCAGUGCUGCAGUUAACGCAAUAAGUAUUCCGCCUGGGGAGUAUGCACGCAAGUGUGAAACUCAAAGGAAUUGACGGGGGCCCGCACAAGCGGUGGAGUAUGUGGUUUAAUUCGACGCAACGCGAAGAACCUUACCAGGUCUUGACAUCCCUUGCAAAGUCAUAGAGAUAUGAUAGAGGUUAUCAAGGUGAC
rnacentral:rRNA from 1 species